GAUGAACGCUGGCGGCGUGCCUAAUACAUGCAAGUCGAGCGAACGGACGAGAAGCUUGCUUCUCUGAUGUUAGCGGCGGACGGGUGAGUAACACGUGGAUAACCUACCUAUAAUACUGGGAUAACUUCGGGAAACCGGAGCUAAUACCGGAUGAUAUUUUGAACCGCAUGGUUCAAAAGUGAAAGACGGUCUUGCUGUCACUUCUAGAUGGAUCCGCGCUGCAUGAGCUAGUUGGUAAGGUAACGGCUUACCAAGGCAACGAUGCAUAGCCGACCUGAGAGGGGGAUCGGCCACACUGGAACUGAGACACGCUCCAGACUCCUACGGGACGCAGCAGUAGGGAAUCUUCCGCAAUGGGCGAAAGCCUGACGGAGCAACGCCGAGUGAGUGAUGAAGGUCUUCGGAUCGUAAAACUCUGUUAUUAGGGAAGAACAUAUGUGUACGUAACUGUGCACAUAUUGACGGUACCUAAUCAGAAAGCAACGGCUAACUACGUG
rnacentral:rRNA from 1 species